CCAGGGUUACGCAAGCGGUAAUUGUGGUGGAGCACCUUAGUUGCCAUCUUCUGAAGUUUGGUAGAAUUAUGCAAUAAAUUUCACAAGAACUUCUCUCGCUCGAUAUCACUCGCAGUAGAUGAGCAAGAAACGUAAAACGCUGAAAGAUAUCUCCGAGGAGCGUGCGAUGUGAAAAACCCCUUGUAAUGCGUGGGCCGUUCGCGGUCAAAGCGCGUGACUUCAAUCGAAUUAUUAUUUGACUAUUUUGCGGCGUGGAAUGUUCUAGUAUAUUUCCAAUAUUAGCGUGCUAAUGAAAUUCGAUUGUAACAACAUUGUCGAAGUAAUACAAAUUAUUUUAAUGUAUG